GUGCCCGUAGUUUAGUGGUAAAACUCCUGCUUGUGGAGCAGGUAUCGAGAGUUCAAUUCUCUCCGGGCACC
rfam:Parcubacteria (Nomurabacteria) bacterium GW2011_GWB1_43_7 TW02_C0006, whole genome shotgun sequence.